CUCAUUUGUUACGCUUUUUGUUCCCGUCACUGACCCCAAUUUCCACCAUUUCCGUUUAUACUGUCUACGCACCAUUUUCCACCGUCGAUCUUAAACUCCCUUCAUUCAUCUCUGUCCGUUUGAUCUUAACCCCCUUAUCCCUAUAUUCAUCUGCUGUAGAAAAAAUCCAACACAACAACACAAACCAAAGUGAAGUUUUGCGGAACAACAAUUCAUCUCUUUUCAUUUCAACUUUCAACCCUUUCAAUCUUUCUUCUUCAUAGCAUAAUCAGGGUUUUGUAAGGAGGUGGAGAUUUGUGAUGAUGGAUAAUGAGGGAGAAAGGGAGAGGGUUGAUGUUGGGGUGUCUGAGGAGAGUGUUAAGAAUUUUGAAGGAGAGGAGGUUUUUGAGGAGGCAAUGGAUCCGAUAAAGCGUUUUGAUGAUCUGGGUGGUGAUGCUGUUGUUGGUGAAGAUGAUGUUGUUACUGAUACUGUUAGUGAAUUGCCUUCAGAUUUGGUUGAUGAAGUUGCGGAUAAGAAAGAAGAAUCGGAUACUUUUCGAGAGUCAGUUGGGGUUGACGAUGAGGAGGAACUUGAAGUGAUUGCUAAUCAGGAGGUGCGUGAGGAUCAGCAGGGGCAGCUUUAUAACAAAGAGGCUGAGGGUGGAGUGUCUUGUGAUGAAUCCUAUAGUAUCAAGGAUGAUUUUAGUGGGGGAAAGGAAUUAUCUGAUUCAAACGCUGAUGGAAGCGUGGUGUUUCAGGAGGGUAGAGACUUGGUGAAUGGAGAGUCUGGUUUAUUGAGUGAGAAGGGUGAAGGUGAGGAUCUUGAAUAUGUGACUCCCAGACAAAAUGGUGGUUUGAUAUCGGAAAAUGGAAGCACGGACAAGGUGGAUUUUGCUGUUGAGGAGUUUCGUACAGAAUCUGGGUCUGAUGAGGAGAUGAAAAACAAGGAUGCUGAUGGUGGGUAUUUGAAAGAGGAUGGCUUGGAUCCUGAUCUCAGAGAUGACAAGAUAGAGGAAGAGCGCAAUGAUUCAGGUGAUCCUUCCAGUGAAAUUCAAGACGGUACAGAUGAUUUAGAACAUCAUCAUGAAAUAUUUGUAGAAAUGGAGGAUGAGACGAUUGGCACUGAUGCAAUCCACAAGGAUACAAAUGGCAAAGAAACUGGAGUAUCUGAUAGUCAGAGUACUGAAUCCAAAGUUUAUAGCAAUCAUGAAACCAAGGAUGACGACGCCGAAUCAAAUUCAGAGCAUCUGGAAACAAUUGGUGAAACAGGAGGAUCUUCUCCGGCUGUGAAUGAAAGUGAAGUGGUUGAGACUGCUGGAAGCUCGUCCCUAUCAGAAAAUUCUUUGGCUAAUGAGAUGCCGACUGUUCAGGCUACUGCAGCUGAUUCAGAAGUAGGGAGUACAAAGGUUUACCAGUCUCAGAUUUCUACUGAAGAAAAUCAAGGAAAUUAUGAAAACUUAUCUGUUGUUGAUAGAAGUGAAGUGAUUGAAACAGGCGGAUCUUCUCCAACUUUGGAUGAAAGAAAAGUGACUGAAACGGUUGUAAACUCGUCCAUAUCAGAAAACUCUUCUGCUAACGAGAUACCAACUGUUCAGACUACUGCAGCCGAUUCAGAAGAAGGGAGUGCAAAGGUUUACCAGUCUCAGAUUUCUAAUGAAGAAAAUCAAGGAAAUUCUGAAAUAUCAUCUGUUGUUGAUAGAAGCGAAGUGAUUGAAACAUUAAGAUCUUCUCCGGCUUUGGAUGAAGUAAAAGUGGCUGAAACUGUUGGAAGCUCACCCCCAUCAGAAAACUCUUUUGCUAAUGAGUUGCCGACUGUUCAGGCUACUGCAGCUGAUUCAGUAAAAGAGACUUCGAAGGUUUACCCGUCUAAGAUUUCUAAUGCAGAAAAUCAAGGAAAUUAUGAAAAAUCAUCUGUUGUUGGGGAACCUGAAAAGAUACCAGAGAAUAAUACGAAGGAGAAGCAAACUACUCAGAUCAUUAAAGAACAGAAUAGUGAGCUUGAUUCCUCAUCUGGAAAGUCUGUUGCUCCUGGCACUCCUCUUGAUCGUCCUGUUGGCCUUGGACCUGUAGCUCCAUUAUUGAGACCCACUCCUAGGGUUGUUCAGCAGCCACGGGUGAAUAAUACUAAAGAGAAGCAAACCACUCAGAUCACUAAAGAACAUAAUAGUGAGCUUGAUUCCUCCUCUGGAAAAUCUGUUCCUACCAGCACCCCUCUUGUUCGUCCUGCUGGCCUUGGAUCUGCAGCUCCAUUAUUGGAACCUUCUCCUAGGGUAGUGCAGCAACCACGGGUGAACAAUACUGUAUCAAAUGUACAGUCACCAAAAAUGGAAGACUCCUCAACUGGGGAAGCUGAGGAGUAUGACGAGACUCGAGAGAAACUUCAAAUGAUUAGGGUGAAGUUUUUGCGGCUGGCUAAAAGAUUUGGGCAGACACCCCACAAUGUUGUUGUAGCACAGGUUCUUUAUAGAUUAGGACUGGCUGAACAACUUAGAGGGAGAAAUGGGGGCCGUGUUGGCGCUUUUAGCUUUGAUCGUGCAAGUGCCAUGGCCGAGCAACUUGAAUCAGCAGGUCAAGAACCACUUGAUUUCUCUUGUACAAUAAUGGUUCUUGGUAAGACAGGAGUUGGGAAAAGUUCAACAAUCAAUUCUAUCUUUGAUGAGGUUAAAUUUAAUACUGAUGCUUUUCAGAUGGGAACAAAAAAGGUUCAGGAUGUUGUGGGAACAGUACAGGGUAUUAAAGUCCGGGUCAUUGAUACACCGGGACUUCUACCUUCCUGGACAGAUCAGCAACACAAUGAGAAGAUCCUGCACUCUGUCAAACGCUUUAUUAAAAAAACACCACCAGAUAUUGUGCUGUAUCUUGAUAGAUUAGAUAUGCAGAGCCGGGAUUUUAGUGAUAUGCCGCUCUUACGCACGAUAACUGAUGUUUUUGGACCAACCAUAUGGUUCAAUGCUAUUGUGGUUUUGACUCAUGCAGCAUCUGCUCCACCUGAUGGCCCUAAUGGUACUCCUUCCAGUUAUGACAUGUUUGUCACACAGCGCUCUCAUGUUGUGCAGCAAGCCAUUCGUCAAGCAGCUGGUGAUAUGCGUCUCAUGAAUCCUGUAUCGUUGGUGGAGAACCACUCUGCAUGUAGAACUAAUACAGCCGGCCAAAGAGUGUUGCCUAAUGACCAGGUCUGGAAACCUCAUCUGUUACUCUUAUCUUUUGCCUCAAAAAUUCUGGCUGAAGCAAAUGCGCUUCUUAAGUUACAAGAUAAUCCACGUGAAAAGCCUUACACAGCUCGUGCAAGAGCGCCACCAUUACCGUUUCUCCUAUCAUCCCUUCUGCAGUCAAGACCGCAAUUAAAAUUACCCGAGGAGCAAUUCAGUGAUGACGACGGUCUCAAUGACGAUCUUGAUGAACCAUCAGAUUCCGGUGAUGAAACAGACCCUGAUGACUUACCACCAUUUAAGCCUUUGACAAAGGCCCAGAUAAAAAAUCUUUCUAGAGCUCAGAAGAAAGCAUAUCUGGAUGAGGUUGAGUACCGAGAAAAACUCUUCAUGAAGAAACAAUUAAAGUAUGAAAAAAAGCAACGAAAGAUGAUGAAGGAAAUGGCAGAAUCAGCGAAAGAUCUACCAACUGAAUAUGGUGAAAAUGUGGAGGAAGAAAGUGAAGGUGCAUCUUCUGUUCCUGUUCCCAUGCCUGAUAUGUCCUUGCCUGCUUCCUUUGAUUCUGAUACUCCAACUCACCGGUAUCGUUAUCUUGAUUCAUCCAACCAGUGGCUUGUAAGACCUGUCCUAGAAACUCAUGGAUGGGAUCAUGAUGUGGGUUAUGAAGGCUUAAAUGUAGAAAGAUUGUUUGUUCUUAAAGACAAGAUACCCGUAUCUUUUAGUGGUCAAGUUACCAAGGACAAAAAGGAUGCUAAUGUUCAGAUGGAAAUGGCAAGUUCAGUUAAGCAUGGAGAAGGGAAAGCAACAUCAUUAGGUUUUGAUAUGCAGACUGUUGGGAAAGACUUGGCUUACACAUUACGCAGCGAGACAAAAUUUCUUAAUUUUAGGAGAAAUAAGGGAACUGCCGGUCUCUCCUUUACUCUCUUGGGUGAUGCCUUGUCAGCUGGAGUUAAAGUCGAAGAUAAGUUGAUUGCUAAUAAGCGGUUCAAGUUGGUUAUUGCUGGUGGUGCAAUGACUGGGCGUGAUGAUGUUGCUUAUGGUGGCAGUUUGGAGGCACAAUUGAGAGAUAAAAAUUACCCUCUAGGACGCUCAUUAUCAACACUUGGGCUUUCUGUUAUGGAUUGGCAUGGAGAUCUUGCUGUUGGGUGCAAUUUACAAUCACAAAUUCCCAUUGGAAGGUAUACAAACCUUGUUGCGCGAGCCAAUUUGAACAAUCGUGGGGCUGGACAAAUUAGCAUUCGAUUAAAUAGUUCAGAACAACUUCAAAUUGCUUUGAUUGGCCUCAUCCCUCUACUACAGAAGGUUGUUGGUUAUUCUCAACAAUUGCAGUAUGGACAAUGAUGAUGAUGUUAGAUUAUGUGAGCUACAGCACAGUAGUAGGAACAAUUUUCACUGAGCAAUUGAUUACACAUGCCUAGUACAAGUCAAUUUUGGAUUUUAAAUUUUUAGCAGGACAUCCUCUUUAGAUAAGCAUGGAACUGGCUUGAGCUGAUAGUAAAGAUGGCGUUGCAUAAAGUACAGAAGGUAUAACAAUUGUUUUGGAAAAGAAUAAAUCUGUAUCAUACUCUUGAGAAGCCAGUCACAAUGUUUCUUGGUGCUCUUUGUUAUAAACACUGAUUAUUUGGGAGUUUGAAAAUAAUUUGCGAAGCGUGCUGUUUGCUUUAUGUUCUAGAAUUUGCUAAGAUUCAGAUGCAGUAAUUCAAUAGUGAAAUUAUUGUAGAUAACUCGUUUUACUUGCGCACAGAGUAGUUAUAUAUCUUCUGCCUUUGGAUUUGACUACUGUUAUGUCGCUCACGGAACAAGGAUAGGAUUAGUUUUUGCCUAUAUGAAUAAUUAAGAGACUCCUAAUCUUGUUGUCACUCUCGGUUAAUUAUGGAUGAAUAUCUUUUUUCAAUAGAAUCUGGAUUUCACAGUUGCAGCA